rnacentral:lncRNA from 1 species
CUGGAAGACAGCCUCAUUGUUUUUUAUUCUCUGGCUGUCAGUCCAACAAUUUGGUAGGUAUCAGGUGACAGGAGAGCAAGGAAGUCCAUCUGCUAGGAAUGCCUGAGACUAGACAGCACGUCGGAUUCCUCUGCUGGAGGCUAUGACAGUUUGGUUCCUGGUGGGCUGGGCUGAAAAUGAACAUGGAGGGGCCGUCCAGUGACCACCAGUGGGAAGACCCAGAGAGGACCAAGGCAUCACUCUCUGGACCAUAUGAGAAAGGCGGCAAGAGGGUGUCCUGCCAGAAGACCAGGGGAUAAACCCCAACGACAGCUCAGCUCAGACUGGGAACAUCCUUCUUGGAACUUGGUAUGGUUUUCCC